rnacentral:lncRNA from 1 species
AAAGAUUGCAUCUAAACCAAAACCAAGUAAAGUACCAACAAGGACUAUCAGUAAUCAUGGAUAUUUACUCUGAAAAUGUGAUACAUACAAAGUUCAUUAACAACAACCACAAUGUGACUCUUUGCACCCUCGAACCGACGUCGUCGGCAGCCGUGACGAUCUUGCUACUCAAUGGAUGAUGGAUUCAACACCAUAACAAACAGAACCACCUGCAGCAACAACAUCUACAAAUAGAAUCAGAUGAAUUUUAAAAAUGUUGGAUCAACGUUUGCAGAGAAAAUGUCAGUUAGUGGUUUUGAGUGAGAGUAGCUGGAGUGGGUGACGGAGAAGGCGGCGGUGUGGUUAUUAGGUUUCGUGGUGGAUUUUCACGGCGAUUUGGGGUUGAUGAAGGUUGCUACUGUUGAGGGGGUUACAGUGAAGGCGAUUUGAAUGUGGUGAGGGAUUUUUGUACGAGGUUUCAUGGUGUGCGAUGGUGAGUGGGUCGUGGGAUUUAGUGGUUGACGGUGGUGAGUGGUACGAGGGGUCUGGAUUUGCGGAGGAAGAUCGUUGAAGAGGGUUUCGCCGGUGAAUGCGUCGUGAAGGUUAGGGUGGAUCGGUGGUAGAUUUGGGUUAGUCGAUGGGGGUUUGAUGGUGUUGGUGUUGGUGAGAGUGUAGCGGUGGAGAGAGAUGAUGAGGUUUGGAUGAGAGGAUGAAGAAGAUGAACAUAUGGUGUUGGUGUUGGUGAGAGUGUAGCGGUGGAGAGAGAUGAUGAGGUUUGGAUGAGAGGAUGAAGAAGAUGAACAGUCGGCCAAGAGGAAGAGUUUGCUUUUUUAUUCUAUUUUAUAUUUUUUUUAUGGUGAGAGAGGGUGAGGCUAUGAGUGAACGUGAGUGAGUCAGAGAGGAUUUCCUUUUUUUUUUAUUUUGCUCGCCAGAGAGAUAUAAAGUAGUGAGUGUAGGUUGUUGUGAGUGGGAUUUGUGAGGUGUUGUAAUAAUAGGUGAGGUGAGCUGUUGAUUGAGUGAGAGAGAAGAGAGAAUGUGACGUGUGGAGAGAGAAAAUAGAAGGAUAAGGAUGAUCAAAAAACUGUUAGAUUUGUGAAGGAUUUAUUCUGAUUUUGUGGGAUUUUCAAUGGAAUGAAGAUGUUGUGCCAACUGUAAAGGGAAUUUCCAUCAUAUAUUAUUCUUACUGAAUGUAACGUUCUUUAAUGGUGUAACCUUAUUUUUGGUUUGCAUUUACUAAUGCAAUUUUUUUUAGUUUCUCUAAUAGUUAUAUAAUAUAAGAGAGUUAUUUAAAUGAGAACAAUGUAUUUAUAUGAAAUUAAAUUAAAUGAGCAUGAGAAAUAGUUACUAAAAAAACAUGAGAUGAUAUAAUUAAAUAAGAAUAAAAAUGCUACUAAAAUUCAAAUGAGAUAAUUUGAAAAAUUAAAAUGGAAUGGUUAUUUUGGAUAAAGGAUGAAAAUAAAUGGGUUAAUAAUGGAUUAAAAAACAAAAUAAAAGAUCGGGUGAAAAUUUACUCAAAAAAUUAAAUUGGAUGUGUUAAAAUGAUCAGCACAAAAUGUACUUAUUGAAAAAAUACAGCGUUUCUUCAAAUUUUAAUGAUUCAAUCGAUUUGUCUGUAUUCUCAAAUAAAUUCAUUCUGACUGACAUUUUAGGUAUUAUUCAUGAUGGAAUGUAUGUCAUGCUAUGCAUAUGAUGCAAAAUAAAAAUAAAAAUCAAUUUUAUGAAAAUUUAAAUAUGCCCAGACAAAAUUGGGGUAUGACAGCUGCCCCUAUUUAAUUAUCUUGAACUAGAAAGUAAGAAUGACGACAGUCUUCAUACAUUCGUGGUGGAAGGUAAUUAAAUACGAAAAGACCCAAAUUUUGUCCUUUGAAAUUCAAUGAGAUAUGCAGAAAGAAAAUGCCAGGGAUUCUAUAUGCACCAAGGUGAUAGGGGUAGAAUGCCAAACCAAUGCCAACCCUCGAGUCGAUACUUAAAUCUUGCAAAGGUCGUUAUUGGUGUAAAGACAAAUGUGGGGUUGGUUUUCUGACACCAAAAGGAUGACAGUGGAGUUAGUUGCUAUCACCAAAAGGGUGAUAGUGAUUCGCCAUGAUUUCCAGGAUCGUCAUCACCAAAAGGAUGAUGGAUAAGCUGAGCUUCAAAGAUAGUCAUCACCAAAAGGAUGAUAGUCAUAGCAGCUACAACAAAGAUCGUCAUCACCAAAAGGAUGAUGGUAAGAUCAACAAUAAAUCUCGCUAUCACCAAAAGGAUGAAAGUUAGACACAAUCCAAAGAUUUCCAUCACCAAAAGGAUGACGUCCGUCACCAAAAGGGAUGAUAUCCGUCACCAAAAGGAUGAUGGUUAUUCUGAUAAAGUUUCCCAUUACAGAGAGUAUAAUAUCGAGGCUAUCGCCAAAAGGAUGAUAGUUGACUCAUCAACUUCAAAGAUCACCGUCACCAAAAGGAUGAAGGUAAGAUCCAACAACAGAACUUGUUAUCACCAAAAGGAUGAUAAUAAGUCAAAUAACUUCAAUGAUCACCGUCACCAAAAGGAUGAAGGUAUAGUCACACAACAAACUUGUUAUCACCAAAAGGAUGAUAAUAAGUCGACAAUCACCAUCACCAAAAGGAUGAAGGUAUUAUCAAACACCAAAACUUGUUACCACCAAAAGGAUGAUAAUAAGAACACAACUCAAACGAUCAUCAUCACCAAAAGGAUGAAGGUAAGAUCGAACAACGAAACUUGUUACCACCAAAAGGAUGAUAAUAAGUCAACAACUCAAAUGAUCACCAUCACCAAAAGGAUGAAGGUAAGAUCAAGACAAACUUGUUAUCACCAAAAGGAUGAUAAUAAGUCAACAAUCACCAUCACCGAAAGGAUGAAGAUAUAAUUAAAAGACAAAACUUGUUACCACCAAAAGGAUGAUAAUAAGUCAAAAUAGACUCAAAUGAUCACCACCACCAAAAGGAUGAAGGUAAGAUCAACAACAGAACUUGUUACCACCAAAAGGAUGAUAAUAAGUCAAUAACCUUAAAUAUCACUCUGACACACCAGGAUGACCGUAAAGAUCAAACAAACAGAACUUGUUUAUCACCAAAGGAUGCUAAUGAAGGGACAAAACUUCAAAACUUGUUAUCACCAAAAGGAUGAUAAUAAGCUGAAACAAACUCAAUGAUCGCCAUCACCAAAAGGAUGAAGGCAAGAUCAAAACAAAACCCGUUAUCACCAAAAGGACGAUAAUGAGCCCAUAACUCAAAUGGUCACCGUCACCAAAAGGAUGAAGGCAAGAUUAAACAACAAAACUUGUUACCACCAAAAGGAUGAUAAUAAGUCGACAAUCACCACCACCAAAAGGAUGAAGGUAUUAUCAAACAACAAAACUCGUUACCACCAAAAGGAUGAUAAUAAGUCGACAACUCAAAUGAUCCCCAUCAUCAAAAGGAUGAAGGUAAGAUCACAAACAAAACUUGUUACCACCAAAAGGAUGAUAAUAAGUCAACAGUCACCAUCACCAAAAGGAUGAAGGUACUACAAACAACAGAACUCGUUAUCACCAAAAGGAUGAUAAUACAUCAACAAUCACCAUCACCAAAAGGAUGAAGGUGGAAUCAUAACUUCGAAACUUGUUACCACCAAAAGGAUGAUAAUAAGUUAUAAUGACUUCAAAUAUUGCUGACACCAAAAGGAUGACAGUGGGAUUGGUCUUUCCAAAUGUCACCAUCACCAAAAGGAUGAUAGCUUAAACCAAACUCCAUAAUCUCUAUCACCAAAAGGAUGAUUUUAGAUUGAAUUGGACGUCAUCACCAAAAGGAUGAUGAUUGAACCAAAAUGACAAGGAUCCUUAUCACUACAAGGAUCGCCGACACCAAAAGGAUGACGGUAGGCUGUAAUUAUUGCAGAGGUCACCAUUCACCAAAAGAUGAAGGUUAGCUUAAAAACUUCAAGGAUCUUCGACACCAAGAGGAUGACGGUAAGAUCACAAAUGUCAAGGAUUUACCACUACCAAAAGGAUAACGGUUAUCAUAAACAGGACGAUGAUCAAUAUUAUUCUUCAAUGGACUUUCACCAAAAGGAUGAUAGUGAGAAAAAUAUUGGAAAAAUAAGGCUACUGUCAAAGUUCAGUAAGCCUGAUUUGCUGGGUAGUAUUGGAACAUUGAUGGGUAAGACUUGCUCAGGGUAUCGACAACAAAAGGUUGCAGAACAAAUACUCUAUGGGGAGGUGUAGUUUCUGUCAACAAAAGGUUACAGGAAACAACUCAUUGAGGGAUGCUCAACGUGAAGCAAGGUAAGUGUUUAAAGAAGCAAUGUUAGACCUAGCUGAGGAUAAAAUCUUAUCAACAGACGGUUGAAAGAUGUAACUCAAUGGGGAAUGCCCGAUAGUAGGGUAGGAACUCACUCAGAGAAAGUGACAAUGACUCAACUGAGGGUUGGCCUGGAUGCCUACGACUAAACCUUGGAUUUUGACUCGUGUUAUAUGCGUAAAUGAUAUGCAUGCAAAGAUGUAUGAAAUGAUGCAUGUGAUGCAUGUGAUGCAUGUUUGAAUGAAAAUGAUGAUUGGCUUGUUUGGGAUUGGCCCCCCUUUCAAAGGCGAUGUAUUUUUUGAAACCAAUGUUGGUUGUAUUUGUUUUUGUGUGGAUGCCAGCAAGGUAGGCUUUGGAUUUUUUUUAAUUAUCGUUGUGGAUUGGUUAUUGGUUGGUGGAAGGAUCUGACUUCCCGACACUCGGUAGUUGAUGAUGUUAUUAACACGCAAUAGAUGAGGAUACUCUUGGUGCCCCAAGUUUGACUUCUUGCUGAUAUGUUGUGUAUUUGUCUUUGAGAAGAUCUCAAUUUCUUCUGAAGUGUUUGGCCAACCUGUAACUGAGCAUAGCGACGUGAUCAACACAUGAUGAUUGUGCUUUUGACGUGCCCUAAGGAUUCUUGUCAAGAUGUGAUAUUGUACCGGUAUGAGCUUUUUCCAUUUUGCUUAUGAAUUCAAGCAAUCAAUAAUGUCUGAUGCAAUCUGCUUGACUGGCUUGAAGACACGGAGGGAGUUUUGCCCCUUGCAACUUGUCUUGCCCCAGACUGUAGGGUGCUCACAGGAAUUCUCCUUGAAAGGAAGCCUUUAGGAGUGGUUAUCCGAUGACGUGGUCUGAGUCUGCUUUUCUCAACUCCUGAAUCUGGCAAUGGUCUGCCCCUGAUUAGCCUUUGGGGAACUUGCCUUAGACGUACUGAGUGUUGAAGUGUUUUUCCUCCAUGAUUGACUGAUGCUUGGAGAUUUGUCUUAUAUUGACUGCUUCUUAGGUCAAUAUAAUCAAAAGAUGCCAUGCCCCUGAUCCAUAGGAGUAUGAGAUGAUUUUGAUUCGUGUUAGUGCCAACGAUCAAGUGCCUCUGGAAUUUCCCCUUGUUGGAAUUUACUUGAUGUCAAGUACUGACUGACAAUUAAGAAUUGUCAUUCAAGAAAUGGCGAUUUUAAUGCAAUAGUUAUGCAAGUUUUGAAAAACAAUCAUUCACUUGGGAGUGUCGUGGUAGUGUGUGGCGAGUGAAUCAUGAGUCCAAACGCGGUGCUAAUUUAGCUAGCGUGUGAGUGAUAUAGCGAGUAGGGAAUAUUAGCAAACCUCUAGGAGUCAGUUUACUCAACCUUGUUGUAGUAUGCUUUUCAGAAUAAACCCUACUUCAAUUAGGUCUUUUGAAGGUUGUAACGUGGCUUGGUUCAUGGUUAUUUGAAACAAAAGGAUAUAAGGCUCAAAGUUUAUUUUAACCUGUCGCAUUACGCGAAAAACCGGCGGGAAAACAAGAACAACAGAGCCGCCACCGUGCGUUAUUUAUCCCAAAAGAGGGAAAGGAAACGCUCAGAGUAAACCUGGAAAAAGCAUGGUCUCGCGACCAAAGAGAAUGGGAUCGGGAGUCGGUUAUGCGAAGGGAAGGUAUUAGCACCCCUACGCAUCCGUCGUACUCGACGGGAUCCACGCACAAAAGAAAGGAAAAUGGUUGCUAAACACUGCUCAAACACACACACACUGGCUGAAAGAGACAAAAGAAACUGACUGAAACUGACUCGGCAGGAUAUCGCAUCCUGGGCCUACUUAGUCUAUCAGGCAUAGACAUCAGAGUCGAAGUAGUUCGGACUGGGGAAACGACACAUGCUCGCUAGGAUAUCGCAUCCUAUGCAUACGUAUCUUCUCGGACGAGAGAAGAAUCAGAGCAUUCGUAGCUCGGCUGACACGCACACAAACAAACACAGGCAAAGGCAAACGUGGAGCCUGAAUGCCAAUCACUGGACUUACAUCAGCAUCCGAACCAAAACACACACACAGAGGCAAACGUGGAGCCUGAAUGCCAAUCACUGGACUUACAUCAGCAUCCGAACCAAACACACGCACACUGGAACCCAAAUGCCACUCGAUGGACUUACAUCAGCUUCCAAGCACACAACAAGACAAAACAAAAAACGGGCGCCCGGAGAGAUCAGCUCAUCUCCUGCCUACGUACCUCAUCUGGUAUGAGGAUCAGGGCGACGUAGUUCCCCUACGGAGGGAUACAGGACUAGCCUAACCAGAUAACAGAGGGAGACACAACUAGGGAGACUACGACUCGAGCCUAGAUGUUAUCAUGCAAAAUCAUCCCUAAGUUAAGGUUUCUAGCUAACUUGCACAGGAAGCAAGCCUAUCCUAAACAUGACUUGCACAGGAAGCAAGCCAAACCAAACCUAACUUGCACAGGAAGCAAGCUAAACUAAACCUAACUUGCACAGGAAGCAAGCUAAAGCAAACACACAAGCACAAGUAGCACACACUAUAUGCAAGCAAUGGGCUCAAACAAGGUUAGGUUUUAGUCGAGGGGUCAUAUCAACCUCAACAAACAAACCACUGGAAUCGGGUUAAAAGUGCUCUUAACCUUGCCAUUGAGGGGCUAAGGUGAAGCAGAUGAAAGGAGAUGAGGGGUGUGCCUCAUCGCUCUUAUCCCUGGUCAGGGAGAGCAUUUGAAUAUCAGAAGGUGUGGGAGUUCAGAAAGUAGGAACUCUAUCCACAAGUUAGACUCUAUAGAUCUUGGGUUCUUACUCACUAUGCAUCAACACAGGUAGUGUGAGCAAGAUGAGUGACACACAGACUAGCAGGGGAUAGGUUGCAUAUCCCUUGGGUUCUGCCAAUUGCCUCUUCACUUAGGAGGUUUUUGAAUAUGUACAAGGACAAUUUUAAACAGUCAAAAACAUUGCCUCUUAAGGAGGACUUCAGACAGUUGCCUGGCCAAGUAACAGGCCAGGUCUUCCAGACUACAUGAAGAUAGAAAGGUAUACCUCAAUACAAAUUGCUUAUCAAGCAAAGCAAAGCAAAAGUUCACAAGGAACUGAGCAACUAAAAGCCCCUGAAACCAGUCAGACAACAUUAGUACACAACUUCAAAAUUAAAGCAAAAGGAAACAGAUAUCAACCAGUCAACACAAACAAGCUAAGUGUGCAAUGCACAAGGCUCAAGGCAUGUGAGCCAAGCAACCUACAAAACAAAUGGGUUAGUCAUGAUAAACAAGCAAACACAACCAAUUUGUAUUGGUCUCAUUGGAUAAUUGUUGGUCAACCUGAAAACAUGAACUCAAAUGUGAGUAACAGGACCACUAGGACAAGCCUAGGGUCAAAAGAGAAUGAGAAAGGCAAAACAGCAAGUGGCAAGUAUCCAAAAUCAAGUUCAAACAAUCAAGAGACAAACCCAAUUGGUUUCACAUUCAUAUCAAUCAUCAUCAUCAUUUCAUGAACAAAUUAGGUCAAGACAUGGCAUUUAGAAGCUCAUGGAAGUCAACAGCAAGACUUGAAUCAAAAGCAAUCUCAAACAUUUCCAAAAAUCAUCAAAUAAAUCAUGAUCAAACACAACCCAUAGCAUGGUAAGCAUGUCAAAUUUCAACUCAAUUGGACAAGUAGAAGGUGGUCAAUGAAAAUCAGAAAGGCAAGGCAAUUUUAAGCAUGCUCAAAGAAGUCAACCAAACAUGCAUCAACUUCCAAAAAUCAUAAAUCAGUGAUAGCAUAUGAGAAAUGAAUGGGAUCAAAACCAUGGCAAAUCUUAAGGUGUCUAGUAAUCACAUAUCAAAUUUCAUGUCCAUCUAAUAAGGUAUGAGAAUUUCACAAAUGAAAUGGGAACAUGUGUCACAAAAAGUCAACAUAAGACCAAACAGGGGAGAAAAAUCUCAAACAAUUAGGAAAUGCCACAAAUAAUUCUAAGAAAAAUCACAUGUGAACUAGACAUACUCAAGUACAUUCAUGCAAAAAUUCAAAUCAAUUUGAGGUCAAGAGGCAUGGUAUUGAAAAUCAUCAAGUUGCACAUCAAUGGUGUGACACAAAUUGUCACACCCUACUUCAAAAAAAUCAUAACUCAAUGACUAGAGAUGAUAAAUUCAUAAACUCUAUACCGAAAUCACCAUGGAUGUGUCUAGUUUAUGCACAAAAAAUUUGGGAGCCAUUGGUCAAAGUGUCAUCAUUUCACAAAUGUUUUGGUAAAAGGUACAAAAUAUUGUUACAUGUCACAAACCCUAAUACCAAUUAAAAUCCACUCAUUCAAAAAAUCAGGAAAAGAUAUGACAAAUAAGUAGAGGUCCAUAUGAACACAAUGCAAAAAUUCCCAUGAAUUUUGGAUUUAAAAUGAAGGACUUAUGAAUUUUGCAAAUUGGUGAAUCAAAAAUGAAAUAACAUUGAAAAUAACAUGAGUUUAAUAAGACACAUGACACGGCAGUGGCAAACUUGUAAUAACCUAUGCCACUAAUCAAAACGCUGCGCUUUGGGCAAUGGAAAGGAAAUAACGUGAUUGGCUGAUGGAUGAAACAGUAACAUGCACACGUGAAUAGGACAAAAAUUCUGGGAUUUAUCUAGGGUUUUAACACAGAGUUCAUGCGUUCAUCUUCAUCAUUCAACUCAAAAAUUUUCUGUGCCCAGAAAAUGCAAUUAACCACAUCAAUCGAUUCAUCUGAACAUGAACAACACGAAUCCAAACACCAUUUACAUUAAAACAAGCCAAGCAUCAUGAAUCGAGCAAAAAACAAAAGUGAACAACAAUCUUUAAAUCAGCAUAACUCAAACAUCAUUCAACCAUUUUCAAAACUAUGACUAUCAAUGAAAUCAGCAUGCAAAGACCUUUCUAAAACAUGUUAAGAUUUAGCAAAUGGUGAGGUUCGAAAUCUUACUUGAUUUUGAAGAAAUUGGAGAAACAGUGUUGUUUUGGUGGUUUGGUGAUGAAACAGAUGUAGCUUCUAGUUCCAGAUGGUGAAUGCUUGAAGAUCCUAGCUCAGCAAGGCGUGAAAUGAUCCCAAACUUGAACUGCCAUUGAUGAUGUUCUUGGAGAAACAGUCGUGAAAAUGUUGUUACAGCUGGAGAUUCAGGCUUGAAAUGUGCUCAAAAUGGAGAGGAAUGAUGAAGCAAACAAAGGCCAGGUCGAGGUCCUUGCAAUUUUUGGUCGAAAAUCCAAAUGAAGGAAAAUGUGAAAAUGAGAGAAACUGAGUUUUUUUCUGUGUGAUAAUGUGGCUGCUAGGGUUUCAAAUGAGCAGAAAAUGAGCUAUUAUACUUCUGUUUAUGAUUGGUUAAGUGUAUGUUAAUCACAAUUUGGUUUAAUGGUAAGUUUUGCUAAUUGACCAAUUUGCUCAAACGGUGAGGUGUAAGAGGCUGCAGCUCGAAAAUGGGCUUGUAACACAACCAAAAUAUCAUUUCUGAACUUAUUUGAAUGGCCAAAGUGGUUAAAAAUGUUUAAUUCAAAAGUUCACUUUUGCACCACACUUGAAAUAAUUCAAAGCCAUUCCAAAAAUGCCAUUUUGAUCUAUGAUGUUUUGAUGAAUGAUGGUUACAUAUUUGGAAAGAGGAGGUCAAAUGUGACUUGUUGCAAAAAACCCCACCCAAUUUGACCAAAUGGUUUGAGAGAUAUGGCCUUUUGAAGUUCAAAAAAGUUUGAAAAUGAAUUGAUCAUAACUUGCCAACCAUACAUGGGAAUUGAGUGUUCUUGGACUUUUUAGAAAUGGGAGAACAAGAUCUUCAACUUUCAUGUUGGGCAAAAAUUCAUUUGAAGCUUGUAUUAUGAUGUAAGUUUGGGAUCAAGAAGUUUCCAUUUUUGGCAAGUUUCAAUUACAGGUCCAGUUUCUAUUUUUGGAAAUUUCUUGUCUAGCUUCAAAUUCUUCCAUGAUGAUGUUUGACAUGAUAUAUAAGGCCUAUUUGAACAUGAAUGAGCCCUCUCAAACCAAAUCCCACCAUCAAAACCAUAAAAUCAGGCCCAGUUGACCAAGGUUGACUUUUUAGGGUUUCUAGCAAACUGUGCAUUGACUGAUGACUUCUGAACAUCCAAUCCUUGACCAAAACACUUCAAGAGGACCCCUAGGUCAUAUGAACAUGUUGGACCAACCCUAGGGCCUUGGCUCAAUGAAAAUUGUCCUUGAUUGCUUGAUUGACUGAUCUCCUGAUCAGUUUGACCUAAUCUGACUGAUGAUCUUGCACUUGAGGCAAAGGGACAAUGCAAUGUUAUGCAGUGGACUAUGUUAUGUUAUGACCUAAUGUGAGAAUGUAUGUACAAUGAUAGGUGCAAAUUUGAGGUGCUACAUAACCCACCCUUUCUUCAUGAUGAUCUCCAAUCCUAUGUUCAGUUAAUUCACACACAUUCGUAUUUUGCAGGUGUGAGGAUAAAGAUGGUGAUUCAAGGUCUCUUGGAAUGGCAGCCACCUUAUUUCGUUUUUUGGAUGUUGGUGACCCUUUGAUUUUGGUAUGGUGGUCACUGAUUCUUGUUUUGUUUUGUUGAGGACUUUCAUUGUCUCUCUUGAUUUUUGUUUUGAUCCCUAACUUUUGCAUGGACCGCUUGUUGAAGCUCUAACCCAUCGGGAUUGUCCCAGUUUUUGCCUAAGUCUCUUUUUAGGGUGUUUGACUUAGCGGGCUCUUUCUUUGACUUUUUUUUUUGAAAUUGUGACUGCCAAGUCAUUGGUCAUUGAAGAACAACAGACCUGGAAUUUGGAUUUGUAUGAUUUCUUCGACACUUCAGGAUAUGUGUGAGGAAUAUCAUGUGGUUGAUCCUUGUAUGGGAUAUUUCAUCUUUAUAAUUUGUAUGUGUAGUCAGAUCAACUGAACACUACCCUGCCCCAGGUUAAGCGUAAGGGUUUUAUAGUUUCGAAAGAAACUCCUACUUCUAGGCUCGAAGUGGUUGACUAGGGAUUAACUCCUUAUAUCUCCAGUGUUUAGAGAUUUGAAACAAUGCCUGUACAUCAUCAGCAAGAUUUUAUCCGAAAGCAUUCAAUCAGCAAUUAUGAGUAUUUUGUUUUCGUCAUCCUCCUUCCAACAUUUACUAACAAUAGUGUGAUGAAGAAAGUGAGGUGAAAAAGUAUGUGUUUGUGAUUUGUAAAUGUGAUAGAGGAGUGAAUAUGAAAGAUUGAUUCAAAAGCAUUUUUUCGUCAUCCUCCUUCCAACAUUUACUAACAAUAGUGUGAUGAAGAAAGUGAGGUGAAAAAGUAUGUGUUUGUGAUUUGUAAAUGUGAUAGAGGAGUGAAUAUGAAAGAUUGAUUCAAAAGCAUGCAUAAUCAUCCAAUUAAUAAGACCAAAUACAAAUAGCAAUGUUUAAAGCAUACAAUACUUAAACAAUCAAGAACAAAUUACAAAAGUGCGAAAUGGUAAGAAUGGCAUAAUGAUCGCCUUCAUUCAAAUGAACAGGCCUUUAUCUCUUGAUUCUUCGUUGGGAUUCGUUCUUCUUGUUCGGGCCGGUGGGAAGCUUUAUCUUUGAGCUUCACUCGACUCUGCAUGUGCUGGCAUGGGAUUUGUUACAACGUUUGGCCUGACUGGCGUGAAUGUAACUGCCUUGCUGUCAAUCAAGUCUUGAACCUUGUGCUUGAAGGCCUUAUAGUUCUCUAUUGUGUGCCCUGGAGCACCCAUGUGAUACUCACAGUGAGCACUGGCAUCGUAGCCUGGUGGGUAAGGUGGAGUUGUAGGUGUUAUCUCCUUCAGAACAACCGAUCCAUCCUUUAACAGGUAGGGGAGGAUCUUGCUAUACGAUACUGGCAAAGGAUCGAAAUGUCUUUCUGGCCUCCUUGCCCUCUGCUGGUUAGGUGGACGUGGUUGAGCGCGUUCUGUUGAUUCUGAUGUUGUUGUUGGUAAGCCGGCUAUUGAUAAGGCUGUUGAUAUUGUUGCUGAUAUGGUUGUUGAUAUGGUGUCGGGAUGACCGCGACAGUCUAAUGAUAAGGCGUAUGAGCAUAUGGAGGUGCCCUAUAUCCUCCUCCUCCCAUUAUGGCAUUGAUCUGCCCUUCUGGCUUCUUUGGGAGAUUAGGAUAAGGCUUCUUCAUCCCACUUGAAGCAUUAGCAGCAUAAGGUAGCCUUCCCUUCUUGAUCUGGCUUUCAAUUCGUUCUCCCACGGAGACAACCUCCGCAAAAGUUGGGAAGUUGGAUCCUACCAUCUUCUCCAUGUAUUGGGUAUGCAGCGUUCCCAUAAACAUGUCGAUUAAUUCUUUAUCAAGAAGAGGAGGUUGGACAUGAGCUGCUAGCUCUCUCCACCGAUGGGCAUAUUCCUUGAAUGACUCAUUGUUCCGCUGAGUCAUGUCUUGCAGCUGGGUGCGGUUGGGUGCUAGAUCAGUGUUGUAUUGAUAAUGCCUUAGGAAUGCUUCAGCAAGGUCUCUCCAUGACUGGACCUGUCCCCUCUCUAGUUGCAUGUACCACUCCAAGGAUGCCCCACUGAGGCUAUCUUGGAAGUAGUGGAUCAUGAGUUGAUCAUUACUGAUGUGGGCAGCCAUUUUGCGACAGUAGGCUCUGAGGUGAGUUCUCGAGCAGCUGAUCCCUUUGUAUUUGUCAAAGUCUGGGACUUUGAAUUUUUGUGGAAUCACGAGUCCUGGCACCAGGCACAUGUCAACAGCGUCCAAACCGGGAGUAGUGUGAACCUCCAAGGACUUGAAUUUUUCUUCCAACGCAUGGAGUCUCUCGACAGCUGGGUCUGGGAGACCUCCAACAGCAGGCUUGGCGGGUUGUGGCAUGAAAAAGGCGUCAUAUGGAUCCUCAUCACCCAUCAUUGAUCCAUGUCGAGCAGAUGUAGCAAAAUGCUCAUGGGGGUUCAAGUUGACCAUGGGGAUCGGAAUAGGGAACGGUCCUCCUAUAGGCUGAUUAGGGUUACCAUCAAGUUCAGUUACUCCAGGGAUGCUAAGUGAUGGCGAUCCAAACUGGGCAGCAACUUUCCUGGCUUCGGCGCUAGUCUCAGCAUCCUUCUCUUUCUGGGCCAAGAGUAACAUGGUUUCCAACAAGCGAUCCAUCUUUGCCUGCAUGGAGUCAAUGUCUGUCCUCAUCGAAACCUGAUUUGCCUCAAGCUGUUCAAGUGUCAUCUUGUAGUUGCGGCGUGUCUCGUACCUGUGUCGAGUAGUCAGCGUUACUGGACAAAGGGUAGAAUAUGGUGUAAGUUUUUUGGUUCCUGGACAAUGAUAUGCAAUGCGUGUUGAUGAUACAUGAAAUUUUGCCAUGUUUUUCGCAGAGGAAUAUAGAUACUCAAGAUCAUUCACGCGUCGGGUACAGCAGGAUAAAAGGAAAAAGCACAAGUUUCUCUGAUCACAAGAAAUUCCCCAAAGGUAGGUUCUAAAGUUAUGUUUUCAAGGAAGGAACUUAGACUCACGGAUCAAGUUCAAAACUUCCUCGCAAUGGUGGGCUAGCCACAUCGUGAUGGGAUCCCCAAAGGUAGGUUCUAAAGUUAUGUUUUCAAGGAAGGAACUUAGACUCACGGAUCAAGUUCAAAACUUCCUCGCAAUGGUGGGCUAGCCACAUCGUGAUGGGAGUUUUGAAAUGAUCUAAUCUAACUGGGAUUCUCGUAUUGUUCGAACAGGGUGUAGACCCUUCGGUUCAAUACUACAUAAUCACCAGUUAUGAAAACAAAACCUGGGUUUAAGGCGAGGUCCCUAGAGUCACGGAUCGUAUUUAGAACCUCCCCACAGUAAUGGGCUAGCCACAUUAUGAUGGAAACUCCAAACAGAUCUACUCUAGGUGGAGUCUUCGUAUUGUCCCAAUGAGGUGUACACCCCCCAGUUCAAUACUACACAACUCCGGGUUCUAAGUUUUUUCUCGAAGCUCGGGUAUGGAGCUUAUCUCACAUCAUACAUCGAGUCCCAUAUCAUAAUAUCAAAAUACAUUACAUACAACACAAGUAAUCAUAGUAAAAUACAGAGAGACAAACAUGGAAAGAAAGAAUAUCUUCCAACAAUCAUAGCAAAAUCAGACUAAGCUAGGCUAGACUCUCUCUUGCUUGGAGAUGUUAUCCCUAGCAGAGUCGCCACCGAACUUUAUUUAUUCCUAAUGAAGGAAUAGGAAAAUAUCGAGAAAACCUUUAGAAAUAAGAAUAAUGGAAUUGUUGAUAGGUAUGGAUGAAGGCCUCAGGAGGGGAAUGGGGAGGUUUUUUAUUAGUGUGCUCGCGAAGAUACAACAAUCUCCUGCCUACGUAUCCUUAUAGUGCAAUAAGGAAAUCAGAGCAUUCGUAGUUCGGGUUACUACGAAUAUUUGGUGUGUUUUGUUUUGAUGAACGACUGUGUAGGUCGGCGUUCUAACGGCUAAACACUGGCUUGUCUACUCUCGGUGGAGGCUCUAGCACUGGUUUGUUGUGCGCAUUAGAAAGGAUUGACUUUUGUUUUGAUGAACGACUGUGUAGGUCGGCGUUCUAACGGCUAAACACUGGCUUGUCUACUCUCGGUGGAGGCUCUAGCACUGGUUUGUUGUGCGCAUUAGAAAGGAUUGACAGUGUUCUUUUGAAGAGGUUUUGGUCAGGCGGGGGUGACAAGUUGAUUUGAUGUGUUUGGGUGUUUUGGUUUGAUUUCGAUCGCUCGGGGGCGAGAAGUUGGGUUUAAUGUGUUUGAGAUGUUUUGAAGAAUGACGAAAGAUUGAGCAAUGUGGUGUACACCAAUCGUCCAAUUCUUUCGAGGAAUAAUAAGGCGACCGCCUUCUAUUCCUUUUUCGUUCGAAUUAUUUUGAAAGUUUGUUUGUGGAUGUUGAAUAUGCACGGUAGUGAGGCGUACGCCUCCUACUUGCUUAUUCAAAGAAUAAUAAGGCGUGCGCCACCUAUUCCCUUAUCCAAGUUUAUUUAGCAUGUUUUAGUCGGAAGUCGAUAAUUUGUGCAAUAUGGCGUACGCCAAUUAUUCAAAUAAUCGAGAGAUGGCGAGGCGAACGCCUCCCAUCUUUUAUCAUCCGAGGUUUAAAUUGUAAAAGAUAUGUUUUGGAUUUGGAAUUUGUAAAAAUGAUUUGAAAUAUUAUGAUUUGAAGUGUUAUGGUUUGAAUAAUUUGAAUUUGGGAAUUAUAUUUGAUUUUGAAAAGUGAUUUGAAAUUGUGUGAUUUAAGAUUUAAUUGGGUGACAAGAACUCGAGCAAUAUGGCAUACGCCAAUUAUUCAAAUGCUUGAGAAAUAGUGAAGCGUACGCUUCCUAUCUCCUUUUCAUCCCAAGUUUGUGCUUAAAAGAGAAAAUUCUUUUGAAAUUGAAUGGUUUGAAAAGUGGUUUGAAUUUGUGUUUAUGAAAUGAAUUUUAUUUAAUGUAUUGUUCAUCUACUCGAUUAAUCAAUAACCGAAUAGGUUUCAUUGUAAGAAAGCCCAAGAGUAAGCUAUGUGAGGUUGAUGGUGAUGCUAAGAGCAAUCGACUUACAAGGGUGUUUUAAAAAUGGGCUCGAUGUUAAAUCGAGAAUUGUAUGAUUUGUGCUUUUUGAAAUUGGUUUGUGUUGUUGAUGAAAUGAUAUUGAAUAAAAUUGAAAAUGAUUUAUGAAGUGAUGAUGACAUGAAAUAGUUUUUUGUUGAAAUAAUGUGAAGUUGUGAGAGUGGGAGAAAUUAAUCAAUUUCUUUUUUUGACAAAAAAUCAACUUAUGAAAAAUUUGAUUAAAUCAAUUAAUUAAAUUAAUUAAGUUUAAUUAUCAAAAUUAUUCAAUUAGAUCAAAUAAUUAAGUUAAUUAGAAUUGAUUAAUUGAAAUUAAACUAAUUUAAUUAAAUCAAAAGAGAUAAUUAUUCAAUUAGAUCAAAUAAUUAAGUUAAUUAGAAUUGAUUAAUUGAAAUUAAACUAAUUUAAUUAAAUCAAAAGAGAAAGAAAAUGGACAUUAAUAUUGAUUUGGUCAGUAUGUGUGGGAAAUAUGCUCGGAACCGGUUUGAGAAUAAGGACAAUAUGAUUGAUGUCGUACGCAAAUUCAAAACUCGGUGAAAGUGUUCCAUUGAUAUAUUGAGGAUUUGGCGGCCUAGCGACAUGAACUUGUCGAAUCCGCAUAAAAAUCCGAUUUACGCGACAAAUGUAAACAGUAUCAACUUUAAUAUUUACAAGUUUAUUUAUAAUAAUCCAAUGUAAACAGCACAAUUCAAACUAGAACCCCAGCAUCAAGGGUGUGAAUCGUUCGGAUUCAAUUUAAUCACAUACCACAGAGCAAAGUAUUUACAAACACUCUUAAAUUUUUAGACCAAAAUGAUAGCCAUUGAAAUGGCUCAAACGUCCUUGACAACUUUACUAAAAAGCUAUUGUGUCUGCACAUUACACCAAAACUUAAAAUAGCAGGAACAAUUGGUCCAAAUAUUACACCAUAGCUUAAUAACCAAUCUAUCUUAAUGCUACACCAGAACUUAAUUCGAAACAUCACAGGAAAAAGAUUGCAUCUAAACCAAAACCAAGUAAAGUACCAACAAGGACUAUCAGUAAUCAUGGAUAUUUACUCUGAAAAUGUGAUACAUACAAAGUUCAUUAACAACAACCACAAUGUGACUCUUUAGGACUAUCAGUAAUCAUGGAUAUUUACUCUGAAAAUGUGAUACAUACAAAGUUCAUUAACAACAACCACAAUGUGACUCUUUGGACAUAAGUUAAUCUCGACAAUGGCAGGGAAGGGAACAAUCCACAACAUCAUCAGACUUAAACCCGCCACACAAAAACAAACACUAGCAUAAUGUAAUUGUUACGGGAGAACGGUCAUAUAUACAUGAAAUGUUCGAUGCUUAUGCUCUGUUUGCAAUACCUGUAUAGGAUACCAAAGAUGCAGCGACAAUACGACUUAACCGACAAGGUGUUCCCGUCUUAAAACGCAAACUCGAUUUGAACUUAGCAGCAACUCGACUUGUUCACUAGUGUCCAGAGUUUCGACAAGGUUAUGAUGCACCCUCGAACCGACGUCGUCGGCAGCCGUGACGAUCUUGCUACUCAAUGGAUGAUGGAUUCAACACCAUAACAAACAGAACCACCUGCAGCAACAACAUCUACAAAUAGAAUCAGAUGAAUUUUAGAAAUGUUGGAUCAACGUUUGCAGAGCAAAUGUCAGUUAGUGGUUUUGAGUGAGAGUAGCUGGAGUGGGUGACGGAGAAGGCGACGGUGCGGUUAUUAGGUUUCGUGGUGGCUUUGCACGGCGAUUUGGGGUUGAUGAAGGU